AAUCAAGUGCCUUAAGGGUGUUCGGUGGAUGCCUUGGCGCUGAGAGGCGAUGAAGGACGUGCUACGCUGCGAUAAGCCGUGGGGAGCUGCGAAGAAGCUUUGAUCCACGGAUUUCCGAAUGGGGAAACCCACCUUCGAUAGCUGGAACUCCAAGAUCUCGUAUCUUGGGGUUCAGACAGCAAUGUUUGAGACCAAGCCGUGAGGUUUUGGAUUUCCAGUUAUCAAGUGAAGGUAUGAAAUCUCUGAAUUCAUAGGAGGUUUUAAGCGAACCCAGGGAACUGAAACAUCUAAGUACCUGGAGGAAAGGACAUCAAUCGAGACUCCGUUAGUAGUGGCGAGCGAACGCGGACCAGGCCAGUGAUACAUCAAAGACAACCGGAACCUGUCAGGAAAGCAGGGC
rnacentral:rRNA from 2 species